AGCUGCUCCUAGGAGUUUGCGGACUUUGAAUCUUGGGCUGAGAUUUUGGUCUCAGUUGGUUCCUUGUUUAUCUUCAUCUCUUGGGGCUUCUAGAGCCUGAAUGCCUGGUCAGAACAGCAAGUAAGUUGCUUCGUUUUUUCACAUUGCAGCUGCUGCCAAGGAGAAAGGUAACAGUGUCGCCUCAGAGCUCGUCAGGGAAUAUUUCUUUCACCGUAUUUUCCUCUUCCUUUUGACCCCUCUGCUGACUUCUCUCACCUCCUUUUUUUCUGUUUGAUUUCUUUGAAUUCUGUUCCUUCAUUAUCACUGUCCAUCUCGGGCUUUCAUCUCCAUAUCCCACUCUGCCUGACCUGUUUUAUGCCUCUUUUGUGGCAGGGCUCAGGAGAGGAAUUCUGAUAGUCUGAGAUCUCCUUCAUGUAUAGAAUCCCAGAACCACCCAGUCCUUUCUCCUAUUCCUCUGAUUUCUAUAAAGUUAAGGAUUUGCUGCUUUAGAAAACAUUUUCUUUUUAUGUCUCUGGAGCCACCUUCCUUAGUAAAGCCAGGCUUGGCAAUCUGACAACUUACUAGGGUCGGCAUCCCAGUUUCCCUGGUGACAGGGUCUAAGCUAGUUCUGGGCUGUUUUCCUGUGGCCUGUCCGGAAUGCUCCAACGCUGGACCCUGUCUUGAGAGAGAUCUGAGGAGGCGCUUGUUAAUUCUGGUAAUGCGAUACUGAAUGUAGCUCCCGAAGUGUGGUUUGAGGACCCUGGGGCUCCCUAAGACCCGUUCGAUGGUACAUGAAAUCAAAAUGAGUUUCAUCACAACAUUAAUGCAUUAUUUGCCUUUUUUCACUCUCAUUCUCUCGAUGUACAGUGGAGUUUUCCAGAGGCUGAAUGAUGUGUGCUGACAUCAUCACUCUUGACUAAUGAAAUGUGUGCUUCUGUAUUCUUGUGUUUUCUGGAAUGUUUAAGGUAGUCCUUUAAGGUAUAAAUAUGGAAGUUUGCAAUGAUGGACUCGGUUUGUUCUCAGUACUUCUACUGUACUCUUACUAGCUGUCUUCAGUUGUGCCUGCUGUAAUCCCUGUAAACCUCAUUGUUGUCCUAUAAAUCAUUAUUUUGAAAUCCCAGCAUUUUCCUGGCACCUUCGAGGAAACACAACAAGAAGAUGGAUUGUUGGCUUUAAAAAGGGAGAUUAGAAGACUUAGCAAUCUCUGUUUACUGAAACGGACACAUCAACAAGUGAAUGGGAGGAAUCUGAAGAAUCUAGGCAAAACUGUUAAUAAGAAAUGAAAAGUUACUGAAAGAGUCAAUAUUAUAAGGAAAGCUGUUUUAUCGUAUCUUAUGCAACAGAACACGUCUGUGUAGUAUUAUAGUGCCAGUUAAGUUGCAACAUCCUGUCAAGACCAAUCAUUCAGAGCUUAAAGAAAAAGGAAUUGAGUAUUUUAAGUGUACACACCAUGAGCUCCUUAAAUAAGAGCCAGAAUUUGCUCCAGCUUUCCAACCUAGAAAUGAAAAAGUCACUGAAUCUUACCAGAUAAGUUUUGACAUUGCUUUGGCUGGAAAAGCCCACCCAAUAGCCGAGAGACUAAUAAAGUCUUGAGCAGCAGACAUUGCUGAAUGCCCACUGGAUGAAAAGUCAGUAAAAUCCAGGGCAGGGGCACUUCAUGUGUUACCAUGACUCGUCGAAUUAAAGUUCUAGCUACAAAUACAAAGACUGAGUUCCUAUCUUGUUUGCAGAAUCGUGCUUUUGCCUUACAAAUGAGCAGAUUUACAGACAUGGCUCAACCUGUGUCUGCACCAACUACGCCUCAGAGAAUUUUCUUUUAUGUGAAUGCUCAGCAGUGAACACAAGUAGUGAUAAGUAUGCAAGGGGUUGAAUAACUCCUUUGACUCUCAUGGUUCAUGAGAGUCAUGCAUUUGCAUGACUGGUGCAGAAGCAAUGACAGAGAAUAUUGCCGGCAUCAUAACAUGAAUCAAGGCAGUGAGUGGCACCAGACUCUACCAGUGGUGGUAGUCAUGGACUUCUUUCCCGCUCUGCGUGUGCAGUUAAAAAAAGAAGAAGCCAUUUUCACUUAAGAAUGUCUUGGAUGAAGCACUAAAAAUUAUUAAUUUUUAUUAAAUCUCAACCCUCUAAUAAAAGUCUCUUUAAUAUUUUGAGUGAUGAAAUGCCAAGGAUCCAUGGAGCCUUGCUGCUGGAUACCAUAGUACAAUGACUGUCUUGAGAAAAUGCACUAGUGUGUGGGAGCUGAACCAGCUGCAUGGAUCAUCGUUUUUACUUGAAAGAACAACUGAUGGAUAAACUGUAGUUACUCAUACUUGAGUGUUUAGUGGACAUUUCCUCGAAAUGGAACAAAUUGAGUCUGUCACCAUUGCCAGUGAUAAAAUUCAAGCUUUCAGGUGAAAAUGAGAAUUUUCGAAAACUUAUAUUUGUCAAAGACUUUUUUGAUGAGACCAGUUGUAAAAUUAAUGGAAUGUGAUUUUUUGAUAUUGUAUGAAAUGUCAGUAUUUGGAAAUACUGUAUAAUUCAACGAAGGAACAUUUCCCAGAUUGCUAAUAGGUAAAAGAGCCACUCAAAAAGUGCAAGAUGACCAAUGGAUUUUAACGUUAAAGUACACAAAAAAAAUUCAUUGAUAAAAUCUCAGAUUGCACAUUGCAACUAACUUUUAAAAACUACUACUUUUGAGUUUUGGUCUGAUGGUGAAGAAGAAAAAUUCUCAGUAUCUGAAAGGCUAUUAAACUCCAUUUUCCAACUACAGGUCUGUAUGAAAUGAGAUUUUCUUUAUAUCUUACAACCAGAACAACAGAUUGAAGCACAUCGAAUGCAGAAGCAGAAGUCAGCUUUCGUCCAUUAAGCCAGACACUAAAGAGAUGUACAACAAUGUAAAACAAUGCAAUUUUUGCCAUGAAUUUAAUUUUGUUUUAGAAAAUAGUUUUUUCACACAAAGAUAUAGGUUUUCCAUAUAAACAUGUAGUGGGCUUAUUAUUUUGAAUGAAUUAAUAAAAAUAUUUUUUAAAUUACCG